GACGAACGCUGGCGGCGUGCUUAACACAUGCAAGUCGAACGGAAAGGCCCUGCUUUUGUGGGGUGCUCGAGUGGCGAGCGGGUGAGUAACACGUGAGUAACCUGCCCUUGACUUUGGGAUAACUUCAGGAAACUGGGGCUAAUACCGGAUAGGAGCUCCUGCUGCAUGGUGGGGGUUGGAAAGUUUCGGCGGUUGGGGAUGGACUCGCGGCUUAUCAGCUUGUUGGUGGGGUAGUGGCUUACCAAGGCUUUGACGGGUAGCCGGCCUGAGAGGGUGACCGGCCACAUUGGGACUGAGAUACGGCCCAGACUCCUACGGGAGGCAGCAGUGGGGAAUAUUGCACAAUGGGCGGAAGCCUGAUGCAGCAACGCCGCGUGCGGGAUGACGGCCUUCGGGUUGUAAACCGCUUUCGCCUGUGACGAAGCGUGAGUGACGGUAAUGGGUAAAGAAGCACCGGCUAACUACGUGC
rnacentral:rRNA from 1 species